AUCCGCUUUCAUGGCGGAAGACGAGGAAUCUUUGAAUAAACCUAUCAUUGCUGACGAGCUAAAACUCGAUAACGUUACCGGAUUGGGCGCCACGUCACCAUCACUGGUUGGUGAGGGCGAUACGGCUUCGCCGGCGCCGGAGGUGGGCCCACCAUCAGUCGAAGAAUCGGAGGUUGCUCUAGACAGUUCACAACAGGCUGGCGUUGGUGAUGCUGACGUGGGUGCAUCGAUGGGGGUGUCAGAGAGUUCUCAGCAGGGUAAUGGUGAUGCUGAGGAAGUUGAGGCGGUUAGGGUGACUGAAAAUGAAGCGGUUACGGAGGAAAAUGUUACGGCUUUGGAGAAAGAUGAGGUG
rnacentral:misc_RNA from 1 species